GUACAAAAUGCCGUUUUAGUUGGUCCUCUGAGGAAGGGAAGUGAUAGUUACUACAUUUGGAUAGGUGGGUAGUGAUCAAGACGCUAGGAUACCAUGGGAGUACUGCUAAGAAGGCCGCCAAUCCCAACCCCAACCAUCAGAUGGCUUCUUAUUUAAAUAGACUGUGGCAGCUAUUUCUAAAACCUAAUUAAUUAUUUCUUCACACUUGGCAUCCAGGGAGCUUGAUGACUUGGGGAUUUGGAAGUGGAGUGAUAAAUGUAGUGAAGAAAUAGAUGCUUCUGGUGAAGAUGACUUAAAACCAACCUCUUCGAAGCCCUCAAAAGGUUAUGUGGGAUUCAGAGAGAGCUUACUGAUUAUCUAACCCAAUGGAGUUCUUGACCUGGAGUCCAUGAAAUUUAUAUAUAUUUCCCUCACCCUGGGCAGUGCUGGGAAUAUAAUAGGUCCUAAAUGAUUAAUGGAUGGAUGGAUAUAUGUGUAAAAACUUUAUGAACUGCCGACACCAUUGGAAAUGUAAAAUGUGGUGCUGUUGCUGCUGCUGCUGUUGCUGAAGAUGAAGAUGAAAGUGAAAAUUCCCCCCUGGUCCCAAGCAUGCCAUUCUGUCAGGACUUAGUAAUCACUCCUGGUGAGAAAGCAGUGGCUUGAAGUGACGCUGAUGUUGUUCCGUGGGAGUACACUCACUCUAACACUUCUGCACCCCUAGAAUUGGAGCCAACGAUGACCGUGGUUCACUGCGAGACAGCAAGAAUGCAGGCUUUCUUGAACUGUCCCAUCAAUCACUUCAUCCCUGGGUUGGAGUGUUGCUGUGCUGAAGGGCUGAGAGGUGAUUUACUAGACCAGAGCAUCCAGCUUAGCCUCCGGUUUAUCUCCUGAAGAGACUGGCGUCUGCUAAUCUUGGAAAAGAGGUGGGGGUUCUUUUUUCAGGGAAUUACUAUCUCUGUUGGAGACUGAAAUAAGAGAAGGACAAACUGCUGGGGGAGGGAUAAAAAAGCUACAUUUGGAGCCAAAAUGAAUUUUGGCCACGAGGAGAAUGCCUAGUAGGUCUGUAGUGCUGAGUAUGGUGAAAUCUACCUUGAGCUCAUAGUAUGAACUGAUCUAGGAAGGCAAGACAGAUUCAUUCAAAGUAACCCGUCCUGCUCAGCCAUUUUCUAGGUCUUAUUUCUUCUCUUCAAAAUAAAGAGGAUAUCUUACGGUAAAAACACCCAAUACAGAAGUGGUGAGGAAGCUGCUGUAAGUCAAGACUCAAGCUGAAAAUGACUGUCAUUGUGAUUCCUGAUCCCUCAGUGAGAAAGGGCAAGGAUGAAUAAGGAAACUGAGGCAAAAGAGGAAAGAAAUGUCACAAAGCCUACCCCGAAGAGGUCAGUAUGUCCAAAACCAAGCUUGUUGCCUUUUCUUCUGACUUAUUUGACUAUACCUUUGCACUUGCUCUUCUCUGUACCUGGACUGCACACCCAUCUCUCUGAGAUAGUUAAUCUAAAGUAAUUAGAUUAUGCACACCCAUCGCUCUUAGAAUCCCUGGAAUCCUUCAAGCUCAGCUCAAAUGCUACCUUCUGCAAGAAGCAUUCCCUGAUCUGCCUCGCUCUUAAUGUCUUAACCUCCAAAGUGCCUUAUAAAUUAUGUACAUAUUAUAUACACGUAUGUGAACACAUCACAUGUGUGUAUAUGUAUACAUGUAUAUAUACUAUAAACUCCUCAAGGUCGAGGGCAGUUUUCGCUUUUAUCUUUGUAUUCCCAACAUAUGAUACAGUGCUUGGCACAUAGUAAGUGCUUAAUAAAUGUUUAUGUUUGUUGAUUGAUAGGAGCUUUAUGUGAUCAUGGAAAGAUCACUGGGAAUUCAGGAUACUUGGGUAUAGUACUGGCUCUGACAAUCACUACUUAUGUGACAUUGGGUAAAUCUCUUAACAUCCCUGAUCUUCUUCAUCUAUGAGAUGAAGGGUAGGGAUGGUGAGAAGAAGACGACUGGACUAGUUGAUCAAUCAUGUCCAAUUCCAAUUCUAAUAGUCUAUUCAUCUAUAACUAAACACCAUGAAUAUGAAUUUUAAGAGGAUAUUUGACAUGGAUUGUAUGGAUUAUAUCCAUAUUACAUGGAUUGUAAUGUCUGUGUUCAUGAUACAGAGAGUGUGAGAUGGAUGACAGUAUAAUUAGGUGGAUUUGUAGAUGAUAGAAUAACUGUACACAAGGAGUGUUGGGGCAAGGAAGAGAUAGAG